rnacentral:rRNA from 1 species
AGGACGAACGCUGGCGGCGUGCCUAACACAUGCAAGUCGAACGCGCUCCAUUCGGUAGCAAUACUGAUGAAGAGCGAGUGGCGAACGGGUGAGUAGCACGUGAGCAACCUGCCCCGAAGACCGGGACAACACCGGGAAACCGGUGCUAAUACCGGAUAUCCCUAUCGGACCGCAUGAUCUGAUAAGGAAAUGGAUUCCGCUUCGGGAGGGGCUCGUGGCCUAUCAGCUAGUUGGUGAGGUAACGGCUCACCAAGGCAUCGACGGGUAGCUGGUCUGAGAGGACGAUCAGCCACACUGGGACUGAGACACGGCCCAGACUCCUACGGGAGGCAGCAGUGGGGAAUCUUGCGCAAUGGGCGAAAGCCUGACGCAGCAACGCCGCGUGGAGGACGAAGGCUUUCUGAGUUGUAAACUCCUUUCAGCAGGGACGAUAGUGACGGUACCUGCAGAAGAAGCACCGGCAACUACGUGCCAGCAGCCGA